rnacentral:lncRNA from 1 species
GGCUCUCCCUGCAUCCCCCCUCUGGGGCUGGCAAUCCCCUCCCUCCAGCUCCAGGGCUGAGCAUCCCUCCUGCCCAAAGUCCCUUCCUCAGGCUGCGGGCAGGCUGCAGGGCAGCAGUUCCCCAGUUCCUCUGCCCGCCGUGCUGCCUGCAGAUCCCCAGCACCGUGCCUGCCUUGGAGGGCAUCCAGCACGCUCACUGCAACCCCAGACAAACAAACAGCAGUUGUGCAAGGGUGCGGGGCAGGCAUCUCCGGCAGGAAACAAAGCGCAGGACUUGCUCUAUUUUAAUCCUGCCAAGGGUCUUCUUGGAAGCGAGGCAGAGCCCGGCUGUGCAGAGUUAAGAAUGAAACCCUAUUUUUAGCCUGUCCCCGGUGAGCCAUCUCCAGGGAAGAACCGAAGCCCAGAUCGGUGUGGUCUCCUGCUGGUGACCUCCAAGCACCCAAAAGUGAAGGAACCACAGAGCAUCUGGGGCUGAGUGAGCAACCUCACUGCAAAACCCAACUGGGAGAGAUGGAGCGAGCGCUGCGGGGACUUCGGGAGGCAUGUCUGCAGCAGAGAGAGGAAGGCUCGCGGUCCGAGUGCAGCUGCUCUGUGCUAUAGAUUGCACUCCCAGAUUGUCUUCCUGCCAGCUGCCCCCAACGCCAAACCGAAGGCUCCAGUGGGAAGAAGUGCUAAUUUAAGGAGCUCUCUCUGAAGCAAAGGCUCUUCACCCAGGAAGCCCAGCACAGCUCAAAUUAGCUUUGCUGCUGGCAACCUCAGCUGUAAAGCCAUGGUCUGAAACAGAAACACCUCCAGUCGGGAUCUCUCCUCAAUAAAAACUUAAUUUGCUGCUGCUUUGCCAUUCCCUUGCAAUGAUUUCAGAGGCCCCUGUGUAUGGAUCUGUCAAGAAGCAAAAUGCCAAGACAAAUUUAAAAGCAGC